rnacentral:rRNA from 1 species
CCAGCAACUUGGAGGAAUGUAUAGCAAUAGCUAGUUGCAUCAUUGUAAAGAUGAUGCAAUAUUGACUAUGUUGAAUAAAAUUCUAGGUAGAAUUAUGAUAAUGACAUUGUCUGCCUAUGUGUCUUGACCAAAUUACGUGCCAGCAGUCGCGGUAACACGUAGAAGACUAGUGUUAUUCAUGUUUAAUCGGUUUAAAGGGUACCUAGACGGCAGAUCAAGCUUUCCGAGCAGAAAAAAAAGUAAAAGGACUAAUUUGCUAGAGUUACUUACGAGGGGGUUUUAAAGUACUGCUGGUGUAGAGAUGAAAUUCUUUAAUACCUAUUCUCGAAAGAAUUAUAAUGGCACAGGUAUAGGCGAAGGCAUCCCCUUAUGUGAUAACUGACGUUGAGGGACGAAGGCUUUAUACAACGAACGGGAUUAGAUACCCCAUUAGUGGAAGCAGUAAAUGAUGAAUGUCAUAGAUUAGCUAGAUAGGUUCAUUCUAUAAAUGAAAGUGUAAGCAUUCCACCUCAUGAGUAAUAUGGCAACAUUGGAAUUGAAAUCAUUAGACCGUAUCUGAAACCAGUAGUGAAGUAUGUUGUUUAAUUUGAUGAUCCGCAAAAAACCUUACCACAAUUUGAAUAUAUAUAUUUUUUUUUAUUGUUUUGUCAUUAAUUUUCUUCUCUUUACAGAAAUAACAUAACAUUGAAGUAAAGUGGAAAGAAAUUAAUAAAGAGGCAAUAAGAUAUAUUUACAAGCGUUGCACGGCUGUCUUCAGUUAAUGUCGCGAGAUUUUGGUUAGAUCCAUAAAAUUAACGUAAACCCUUACUUUAUUUUUAGAUAGAGUUGUUCCCCACUAUAUUGGAUAUGAUAACAGGGACUAAGACAAGUC